CCUUUGUCACAGGAAGCCUGUGGUCUCACUUGCUGGUUCUAACCAGGUGCUUUAGAACUGGUUGGUGCUCUACUCGACAUGACUGUCCUUCAUAUGGUUGGAAAGGUACCCACAGGUUCUUCACCCCUUCUGUGUUUAUACCUUUGGGCUCCUCAAGUCUCCCUCUGGUUGCCAUGACAGACAGUGCUUAUCCUAACCCUUGAGUCCACUCACCCAUGCUCAGAAGCCGUUCUGUGACAGUCUAAGCACCCAUUGCCGUCUGAGUUGGAAGCUGGGUUCAAAGCUAUUUUCUACCUUUCAGAUUCUAGGUUCAAUAAAGCAGAGCCCAGUGGUGAUGGAGACGCCAGUUUGAGCCUUUUUAAUACUCUGAACAAGCCCUGUCUUGCUGCUGGCCCAAGGUUGACGUCAGCGCUUCCUCUGCUUCAAAGCAAGAUACAGAAUUAUAAUAGGAUGUCUGGAUACCAACUGUGUCCUUGAUAACUCAGAGUCCAUUACAAAGAACUGCUCUGAGCCGUCUGAGCUGGACAUGGAAGCGAGGUGCUUGGCUGAAGCCUUAGUGUUGGACUGCUAAGGGAAGACAGAGCUGAAACGUGGAGGCCCGUGGGAGCAUUGUGUGAAUUUGUGUGUCAUUUAGCUCAAGAAGUGACUGAUUAGCUCUGUACUUGAGUCCUUAUAUUUCACAGCUACUUCAAGUACCUUGAAUCUAGAACAUUCUUAUCUGACAACAGUACGCAAUUAAAGUUCACAUCAGGUUUUCAUUAGACUCAUUCUGACUUUGUAGAACAUUUCUUGAAGAAUACGUUGCUAAGAAUCCUGACUUCCCCCCUCAUUCUUCCUUGUCUUGUGGCAAGAGACCAGCAGAACAUUCUGUCUCCAUAGGAUGAGAUCAUGCACAGCUACUGCCAGACCUUGGGAAGGCCAGUGGGGAUGUCACUUCUGUCUGUCAGCACCAGCAAUCCUGAAAUUUAGAGAGGCGUCACCACUCAUGUAACUUUGUGACUCUUCCUUUCGGGGUAACUUUCUGUGAAACUACUAGCUAGAAAAAUACAAUGAUUGAGGUUCAUUUCAGCAAGCCUCCAAAGACA
rnacentral:lncRNA from 1 species